rnacentral:rRNA from 1 species
AUUGAACGCUGGCGGCAUGCCUUACACAUGCAAGUCGAACGGCAGCACGGGGGCGAACCCUGGUGGCGAGUGGCGAACGGAUGAGUAAUACAUCGGAACGUGCCCGAUAGUGGGGGAUAGCUCGGCGAAAGCCGGAUUAAUACCGCAUACGACCUACGGGUGAAAGCGGGGGAUCGCAAGACCUCGCGCUAUCAGAGCGGCCGAUGUCAGAUUAGGUUGUUGGGGGGUAAAGGCCUACCAA